UAAGGAAUAUUGGUCAAUGGACGAAAGUCUGAACCAGCCAUGCCGCGUGGAGGAUGAAGGCCCUCUGGGUUGUAAACUUCUUUUAUCUGGGACGAAAAAGGGACUUUCUAGUUCAACUGACGGUACCAGAGGAAUAAGCACCGGCUAACUCCGUGCCAGCAGCCGCGGUAAUACGGAGGGUGCAAGCGUUAUCCGGAUUCACUGGGUUUAAAGGGUGCGUAGGUGGGCAGGUAAGUCAGUGGUGAAAUCUCUGGGCUUAACCCGGAAACUGCCAUUGAUACUAUUUGUCUUGAAUAUUGUGGAGGUCAGCGGAAUAUGUCAUGUAGCGGUGAAAUGCUUAGAUAUGACAUAGAACACCAAUUGCGAAGGCAGCUGGCUACACAUAUAUUGACACUGAUGCACGAAAGCGUGGGGAUCAAACA
rnacentral:rRNA from 1 species